rnacentral:rRNA from 1 species
CCUACGGGAGGCAGCAGUGGGGAAUAUUGGGCAAUGGAGGCAACUCUUACCCAGCAAUGCCGCGUGAAUGAAGAAGGUCUUCGGAUUGUAAAGUUCUUUAAUUGGGGACGAAAAAAAUGACGGUACCCAAGGAAUAAGCCCCGGCUAACUACGUGCCAGCAGCCGCGGUAAUACGUAGGGGGCAAGCGUUGUUCGGAAUGACUGGGCGUAAAGGGUGCGUAGGCGGCCUGCUAAGUCUGGAGUGAAAGGUACCGGCUCAACCGGUACAGGCUCUGGAAACUGGCGGGCUAGAGAGCAGGAGAGGGCGGUGGAACUCCAUGUGUAGCGGUAAAAUGCGUAGAUAUAUGGAAGAACACCAGUGGCGAAGGCGGCCGCCUGGCCUGUUACUGACGCUGAGGCACGAAAGCGUGGGGAGCAAAUAGGAUUAGAUACCCGUGUAGUC